GCCAAAACCCCUAACUGGGCAGGUGCAGGAAGAGACUGGCACCGGAUGCAAUAACAGACCUUUGUUUUUCCUUCUAACCUACUCAGAAUCUAGCAGCUCUGAACUACAACAGAAGCCUUCUGUUAGGUCAGUCUCCUGGAGGCCAGAUUGUCACCUUAGGAGUCUGUCUGAGAGCUGCCCACCUGUGUCCUGACUGAGCUGCUACUUCCUAACAGCCAGCUCUGCUACCCAUCACCAAGUGGUGCCCUGCCUGACUUCCAACACACUGUGGGUCACUAGAGUUGAAUGGGAAAGAGCAGAGACUGGGGAAGAGGGCACAGCUAGCAACAAGACAUGUCAUCACCCUGUUCUUGCUCAUCUCUGGGUACUGUGUGCUUCAGGAAGCCCAAACAAGGGUGAAGUUCAGCUGAAGUGUCUAACCAGCCUCCUCUCUGAUAUGCAAAAUUAUGAUGACUUGGAAAGCUCAAAGAGAAGUGUCUGGAAUCAGAAUUGCUUGGUGGAAAGGCAAAGCAGGAGGACCCACAUUGGAUUAUAAACCUCUCUGGAAGAAAAUCUUACUCAGGAGGCAAACAGACUUCUUCCCAUGAACACUAGGCUAGAAACAACCCAUUAAACCCAUCAAGUGGAGAAUAGAUUGCUGAUUCUCUGAGACCAGCUACAUCCUUUUCUUGAAUCUUAUCUUUCUCAUCUACUUCUCUGACUCCAGAGCUUUUCUAUAAUAAUGUUUUGAGCUGAAAGUACACUAUAUUUCAGAUCUCCCUUUAAUAUUUUGGUUAAGAUGAAAAUCAUGUCUCUCAAGAGGGAGAAUAUCCAAAUUUGAAUCUUGACCUUUAUUUGGAUUCCCGGAGUAACUUUGUGAAAACUCUCUUAUUCUCCCAUUCCCCAUUCCAUUAUUUAUAAAAUAAAACUGUCUUAUACCUAA
rnacentral:lncRNA from 1 species